rnacentral:rRNA from 1 species
UACGAAGGGGGCUAGCGUUGCUCGGAAUUACUGGGCGUAAAGGGCGCGUAGGCGGCGUUUUAAGUCGGGGGUGAAAGCCUGUAGCUCAACCACAGAAUGGCCUUCGAUACUGGGACGCUUGAGUAUGGUAGAGGUUGGUGGAACUGCGAGUGUAGAGGUGAAAUUCGUAGAUAUUCGCAAGAACACCGGUGGCGAAGGCGGCCAACUGGACCAUUACUGACGCUGAGGCGCGAAAGCGUGGGGAGCAAACAGG